rnacentral:tRNA from 1 species
GCUGGUGUGGCUCAACGGUAGAGCAGGGGACUGAAAAUCCCCGUGUCGGUGGUUCGAUUCCGCCUCUGGGC